rnacentral:rRNA from 1 species
UACGUAGGUGGCAAGCGUUGUCCGGAAUUAUUGGGCGUAAAGCGCGCGCAGGUGGUUUCUUAAGUCUGAUGUGAAAGCCCACGGCUCAACCGUGGAGGGUCAUUGGAAACUGGGGAACUUGAGUGCAGAAGAGGAAAGUGGAAUUCCUAGUGUAGCGGUGAAAUGCGUAGAGAUUUGGAGGAACACCAGUGGCGAAGGCGACUUUCUGGUCUGUAACUGACACUGAGGCGCGAAAGCGUGGGGAGCGAACAGG